CUUCUGCGGUAAAACUUUA
rnacentral:misc_RNA from 1 species